CCGACAAACGCUGGUAACAAAAAGUGUGCCGACUGUGCAGAUCGUUGCGGCGCCGCGUAAAGCAACAUACUUUAAAGACCACAGGAGAUCCCAGAAAGAGGGCAUGGCACAUUCAGACAUUUUCCCCUGUGGUCAGAUCAGCGACGCUACGCCGGCCAAUAAAGUCUUCUCCGUAGCAGAGAAGGAAGAGCUGUCAAGUCCUGCUCCUAAGAACAGCCGUCAGCAGGAGGAUCGAUGGGGUUUACGCACAGAGGCAUGAAGCGGGACGCGGCGGGCUCUCUGGUGGGAGAUUUCUCGCGCGGCUUUGGAUCGACUUCAGAUAACGAUGGGUUUUAAAAGCCAACACUUAUCCGUCUAACUGGUUACAGAACGAUGGGUUUGAACAUUUUUUUCCCCCCUCCUCCCCUCCGUCCCAGCAGAUGGAACAAUGUUAAAAGCAGAAAACGUGCUGCGCAAAUCAUGCGAAUGGACCCUUUGGUGCUCCGAGUUCUCAUCUCCGCUCUUCCAGCUCUGACUCACACUGUCUGGGCGUACUUCCUCAGAAACAUGCCACAAAGGCUUACUGGAAGAAACUGACACCAUAUUAGGAACUGAGCUCCAUGCAGGCAAUGUGAGCGGGGAUGUCAGAUACGCUCAGAAAAAUGUAAAAAAAAAAAAAAAAAAAAAAAAAAAGCAACAUCCACAUAACUUCCAGAAAAUCCUGCAGGAUUUUCAUGAAACCCGAGGUGCUGAAAGCUGCUACAUCCGAAAUGUGUCCAAAACCAUAAACUAAAACGCAAUCUGUGAGCAACGGUCGCAAAUGUGAAUCUGGGGAAGCCGCUUCCCGUGACGCCGGAUCCUGGUUACAAUGAACAAUUGACCAACCGAUAAAAAGUCGGGCCUUGAACAGCGAUUGCUUCUAAAAAUAUCCUGACUCUGCUUCCUAAGGGAGAAGGAGACGUUUAACUUUACAAAAAACAUAAUACAACCAACAGAGGAGUAAGUGAGCUCAAACAUGACUGAUAAAAAUGGAAAAUACUCAACUCCCCCUGUCAGUAAACGAAAUGACUUGCUAA